rnacentral:rRNA from 1 species
GAUGAAGCCCUUCGGGGUGGAUUAGUGGCGAACGGGUGAGUAACACGUGGGCAAUCUGCCCUGCACUCUGGGACAAGCCCUGGAAACGGGGUCUAAUACCGGAUGACACUUUCUCUCGCAUGGGAGAAGGUUGAAAGCUCCGGCGGUGCAGGAUGAGCCCGCGGCCUAUCAGCUAGUUGGUGAGGUAGAAGCUCACCAAGGCGACGACGGGUAGCCGGCCUGAGAGGGCGACCGGCCACACUGGGACUGAGACACGGCCCAGACUCCUACGGGAGGCAGCAGUGGGGAAUAUUGCACAAUGGGCGAAAGCCUGAUGCAGCGACGCCGCGUGAGGGAUGACGGCCUUCGGGUUGUAAACCUCUUUCAGCAGGGAAGAAGCGAAAGUGACGGUACCUGCAGAAGAAGCGCCGGCUAACUACGUGCCAGCAGCCGCGGUAAUACGUAGGGCGCAAGCGUUGUCCGGAAUUAUUGGGCGUAAAGAGCUCGUAGGCGGCUUGUCACGUCGGUUGUGAAAGCCCGGGGCUUAACCCCGGGUCUGCAGUCGAUACGGGCAGGCUAGAGUGUGGUAGGGGAGAUCGGAAUUCCUGGUGUAGCGGUGAAAUGCGCAGAUAUCAGGAGGAACACCGGUGGCGAAGGCGGAUCUCUGGGCCAUUACUGACGCUGAGGAGCGAAAGCGUGGGGAGCGAACAGGAUUAGAUA